rnacentral:tRNA from 1 species
GUUUUAAUAGUUUAACAAAAACAUUGGUCUUGUAAAUCAAAAAUAAAAUAUAUUAAUUUUUUAAAACA